UGAAUACGAGACGCUAAGGCGUCGAAGUAGUGUAUGUCACACUUCCAAGAAAAGCUUGCACUGUCAUAGAUAAAAAACGCCUGUACCAUAACCGACACAGGUGGGUAGGUAGAGUAUACUAAGGGGCGCGAGAUAACUCUCUCUAAGGAACUCGGCAAAAUAACUCCGUAACUUCGGGAGAAGGAGUGCCUUAUUCUUAAGGUUGCAAUAACAAGAUCCAAGCAACUGUUUAUCAAAAACACAGGUCUCCGCUAAGUCGUAAGACGAUGUAUGGGGGCUGACGCCUGCCCAGUGCCAGAAGGUUAAAGAAGCUGGUUAGCAUUUGCGAAGCUAGUAACUGAAGCCCUGGUGAACGGCGGCCGUAACAAUAACGGUCCUAAGGUAGCGAAAUUCCUUGUCGGGUAAGUUCCGACCCGCACGAAAGGCGUAAUGAUUUGGAUACUGUCUCGGAGAGGGGCUCGGUGAAAUAGACUUGUCUGUGAAGAUGCGGACUACCUGCACCAGGACAGAAAGACCCUAUGAAGCUUUACUGUAACUUGAAAUUGAGAUUGGACUUUAUUCGCGCAGUAUAGGUGGGAGGCGUUGAUUAUAAUCUUGCGGGAUUAUUGGAGCCAUUAGUGAGAUACCACUCUUGUAAUGUUAGAUUUCUAACUUUGAAUCAUUAUCUGGUCAAAGAACAGUUUCAGGCGGGCAGUUUGACUGGGGCGGUCGCCUCCCAAACGGUAACGGAGGCGUACAAAGGUUUCCUCUGAACGGUUAGAAAUCGUAUCUAGAGUGUAAAGGCAUAAGGAAGCUUGACUGUGAGACCUACAAGUCGAGCAGGGACGAAAGUCGGUCUUAGUGAUCUGACGGUACUGAGUGGAAAGGCCGUCACUCAACGGAUAAAAGUUACUCUAGGAUAACAGGCUGAUCUCCCCCAAGAGUUCACAUCGACGGGGAGGUUUGGCACCUCGAUGUCGGCUCAUCGCAUCCUGGGGCGGUAGUACGUCCCAAGGGUUGGGCUGUUCGCCCAUGAAAGCGGUACGCGAGCUGGGUUCAGAACGUCGUGAGACAGUUCGGUCCAUAUCCGGUGUAGGCGUUAGAAUAUUGAGAGGAGCCUUCUUUAGUACGAGAGGACCGGGAAGGACAUACCUCUGGUGUACCCGUUAUCGUGCCAACGGUAGACGCUGGGUAGCUAUGUAUGGAGUGGAUAACCGCUGAAAGCAUCUAAGUGGGAAGCCCACCUCAAGAUAAGUAUUCUCAUC
rnacentral:rRNA from 1 species